rnacentral:rRNA from 1 species
AUUGAACGCUGGCGGCAGGCCUAACACAUGCAAGUCGAGCGGAGCGGCGGACGGGUGAGUAAUGCCUAGGAAUCUGCCUGGCAGUGGGGGAUAACGUCCGGAAACGGGCGCUAAUACCGCAUACUAUCAGACGAGCCUAGGUCGGAUUAGCUAGUUGGUGGGGGAAAGGCCUACCAAGGCGACGAUCCGUAACUGGUCUGAGAGGAUGAUCAGUCACACUGGAACGGAGACACGGUCCAGACUCCUACGGGAGGCAGCAGGGGGGAAUAGUGGACAAGGGGCGAAAGCCUGAUCCAGACAUGCCGCGUGUGUGAAGAAGGUCUUCGGAUUGUAAAGCACUUGAAGUUGGGAGGCGUUACCAACAGAAUAAGCACCGGCUAACUUCGUGCCAGCAGCCGCGGUAAUUC